rnacentral:lncRNA from 1 species
AUGUGGUUAAGGGUCAAGGGUUGACCAGAUAAAUUAUAUCUAUAACAAACCCUAGGAAUAUAUUAAGAACGCCAACGUUCAGUUAGAAAACCCUAACGUCUGAUAAAAACCCCUAGAAAUCGGUUCUGGAAACCCUAAUUUCAGUUCCGGGCAUCCGAAACCCUAAUUCGGUGCAUGAAACCCUAAAUCGGGAACUUAAUGGCAUAAAUGUAAAUAAUUAUAGGAUUAAUUAGGGUUAAUCUUAACAAAUUGAUUACAAAACCCUAAUUCCAAAUUUGAAGCUCUAAUUACGGAUUAGAAACCCUAAUUAGUGGGUUAUAAACCCUAAGGGUUAAAAAGUUGUGUGUAAGGAAUAUGAACAUUAUGUGAUGGU